ACUCGAGUGGCGAACGGGUGAGUAACACGUGGGUGAUCUGCCCUGCACUUCGGGAUAAGCCUGGGAAGCUGGGUCUAAUACCGGAUAGGAGCCAUCUUUAGUGUGGUGGUUGGAAAGUUUUUCGGUGUAGGAUGAGCUCGCGGCCUAUCAGCUUGUUGGUGGGGUAAUGGCCUACCAAGGCGGCGACGGGUAGCCGGCCUGAGAGGGUGUACGGCCACAUUGGGACUGAGAUACGGCCCAG
rnacentral:rRNA from 1 species